rnacentral:rRNA from 1 species
AGAGUUUGAUCAUGGCUCAGAUUGAACGCUGGCGGCACGCCUAACACAUGCAAGUCGAGCGGCAGCGAGACUAGUAGCAAUACUAGUUGUCGGCGAGCGGCGGACGGGUGAGUAACGCGUAGGAACUUGCCCUUAAGAGGGGGAUAACCAAGGGAAACUUUGGCUAAUACCGCAUAAACUCGAGAGAGAAAAGCUGCCCGUAAGGGUGGCGCUUAAGGAGAGGCCUGCGUCCGAUUAGCUAGUUGGUGAGGUAAAGGCUUACCAAGGCGAUGAUCGGUAACUGGUCUGAGAGGACGACCAGUCACACUGGGACUGAGACACGGCCCAGACUCCUACGGGAGGCAGCAGUGGGGAAUAUUGGACAAUGGGGGAAACCCUGAUCCAGCGAUGCCGCGUGAGUGAAGAAGGCCCUCGGGUCGUAAAGCUCUUUAGGUUGGGAAGAAGGUUAUGGGGUGAAUAGCCCUGUAAUUUGACGGUACCGACAGAAUAAGCACCGGCAAACUCUGUGCCAGCAGCCGCGGUAAUACAGAGGGUGCGAGCGUUAAUCGGAAUUACUGGGCGUAAAGGGCGCGUAGGCGGUAGAACAUGUGUGGUGUGAAAGCCCUGGGCUUAACCUAGGAAGUGCACCGCAAACUGUUUUGCUAGAGUAUAUGAGAGGGUGGCGGAAUUUCCGGUGUAGCGGUGAAAUGCGUAGAGAUCGGAAGGAACGUCGAUGGCGAAGGCAGCCACCUGGCAUAAUACUGACGCUGAGGCGCGAAAGCGUGGGGAUCAAACAGGAUUAGAUACCCUGGUAGUCCACGCCCUAAACGAUGAUUACUCGCUGUCGGCGAUAUACAGUCGGCGGCUAAGCGAAAGCGUUAAGUAAUCCACCUGGGGAGUACGGUCGCAAGAUUGAAACUCAAAUGAAUUGACGG